UACGUAGGUGGCAAGCGUUGUCCGGAAUUAUUGGGCGUAAAGGGCGUGUAGGCGGCCAAUUAAGUCAGACGUGAAAUCUUUGGGCUUAACCUAAAAAUUGCGUUUGAAACUGAAUGGCUUGAGGACCGGAGAGGGUAGUGGAAUUCCCAGUGUAGCGGUGAAAUGCGUAGAUAUUGGGAGGAACACCAGUGGCGAAGGCGACUGCCUGGACGGCACCUGACGCUGAGGCGCGAAAGCUAGGGGAG
rnacentral:rRNA from 1 species